ensembl:lncRNA
CCGGGCUCCUCCCCGCCGCCGCAGCGAGUCCAGGCUGCAGGACCAGCGUCGUCGCCCUGCCUGCCACCCCAGAGAAGGCCCACCAGCCGACCCGCCCCCACCUCAGAAGUCUGGGCCCAACCCUGCCCGGGAACCCCUGCUCCUGGGUUCUAACGAUUCCGUAUGCUGCCCUCCCUGGGCUUCCCGCGGCCGCCACCCGCCUCCUACACGAAAAGCCCAGGAGGUGGAUCCUAAAGGGAAGAGAAGAGGAACUUCCCUGGGGGUCCUGUGGCUAAGACUCCACGCUCCCCAUGCAGGGGGUCUGGGUUCAAUCCCUGGUUGGGGAACUGAUCUCACAUGCUGCAACUAAAGCUCUUGCACACGGAGAUGAAGGUCAAAUAUCCCGCGUGCUGCAAUACAGACCUGGAGCAGCCACCU